AGCAUUAUCUUAUCUGUAUUUAAACCAUAAAGAAAUAUUUCUUGUGACAGAUCUUAUCAGGAUUUUGAUAUGACAGUGAGUUUUGUUAAAACAGAUUAACAUCACAGGUAACUAAAAUGAAGGCAUUACGAGCUGUUAUAGGUUUCUUCUUGGUUGCUGUCUGGAUUCACAGCACACACUCAUCUUGUUAUAGAGAUCUGCCUAAACAUAAAAUUGUGAAUGGUGUCGUAAAACAGUUUUGUACACAGGCCGAUAAGGAAUUAGAAGUGGGCGAAAGUUAUAGGACAGAUAAUUGUUUUCAAUGUCAUUGUGGAAAAUACGGAAUGCAAUGCUGUGGAGUUGGCCAUGCUGCUGGUGUAAUGGUAAUUAAAGACUGUGUACAGAAGAAGUAUGAUAAUUGUUGUUUUCAGUUUUUUGAUGUUUUAACUGGAGGUAACUGUACAGAUCUCUCCUGUCCACCACCAUUUAAAAAUUCUCAAUAAAAUUAACACAAUCCAACCAUCGGAUGUUUAGAAAACGUACAA